UACAGAGGUCCCGAGCGUUGUUCGGAUUCAUUGGGCGUAAAGGGUGCGUAGGCGGCGGGGCAAGUCUGAUGUGAAAUCCCGGGGCUCAACCCCGGAACUGCAUUGGAUACUGCCUUGCUAGAGUACUGGAGAGGAGACUGGAAUUUACGGUGUAGCAGUGAAAUGCGUAGAGAUCGUAAGGAAGACCAGUGGCGAAGGCGAGUUCCUGGACAGUGACUGACGCUGAGGCACGAAGGCCAGGGGAGCAAACGGG
rnacentral:rRNA from 1 species